GGUGGGGUAUUCCAAUGGUAGGAUAGCCACUCACUCCACGAGUGUAAGAUGCAGGUUCGAAUCCUGCCCCCGCCG
rnacentral:tRNA from 1 species